GUUUUGUCACACUGAACUGUUUUCCUUCCUUUCUUCUCUCACAGGUAGAGAAAUAUUGCCUUUGAGUUUUGAGCUGUCCUUUUAGAACCCAGCAAACCUCACUCCUGACUUGUGCUUUUACUGAAAUAGGAGAGGAUUAAGUGGCAUGGUGGAGCUGUAGAUGUUGUGCAGCAAAUGCACUGUCCCAUAUUGGGAUAAAAAUUCCUAGGACUGUGAAUUUACACGUAGUUGGAGGGAGAUCUUUUGGGUUACAGGGUUUAAACAUGAUUUAUGAAAGGGGAUGGAAAGAGGCAUAAGGAAAAAAGAGAAUCAGAGGAGUGCUGGGUUAAACUGUAGUUAUUUCCUAUUUAAAUAUUCAGCCACAUUCUCCUGAAGGAUGAAGAGCCCACAUGGAAACCCUCCUUUUCCCUCCUUGUGGGAACACCUUCUCCAGCAAUUGCACCAGACUUGUGGCCAGUAUUGAGGGAAUUGUUCCAGGUCAGACUGGGACAGGGUUUCUAAGGCAGCUCCUGGAAGGAGGAGGUCCCUGGUGUGGGUUCAGGGUGGUCACACGGGAGGGGACAGUGGAGGGAGCAGUGAUAGGAUCAGGAGCCACCACAGGAGCAGCUUGGGCUGGGCCAGUCUGUCCUUCAGAAAUGGGCAAGCAAAACCUUUGCUUUGCUCCAGCACUCAGGAGGGCAGACAGCAUUAACUUCACCUGAAUAUCAGUGCCAGUGAGCCUUUAUCCCACCUGGAGGAGGGAAGAGGAGCUCAGGACAAGUGUGAGCUCUGAGUGUGAUGUCCCAGCACCUCCAGCAUGAGGAACACCCAGUGCCCAGCCUGGGGACUGUGUUCCCAAUGCCAUUUGUGCCAGGAGUGUCCUCUGGAGCUGGUACAGACCCUCACACUGAAGGUCUGCACCUGGGGAGCCCCAGCUGAUGGGAAGUUUUCCUGUUAACUUCUGGCUCACCUUUGCAAAAAUAUUUAUUACCUGGGUUCCCUUGUUUUGCACCUGAUAUCUGAGAUUUCAAGUUCUCUCCAGCACAGGAUGCUGUGGAAAAGGGAGGAGGAUUUCAGUGGUGUUACACAACCCUCCUUCCUCAAAACAUGUGGAGCCUACAGCUUCUGGGAAGAUCAAUCAAAAGCCACGUCCCAGUGGCUUGUUAAUCAAACAAUUUCAGCUCCCAAGUAUUUCCCUUGGGUUUGUUUUGCUGAGGCCGAGAAGCCAGAAGCGGAAAUUACGCCUCAUUUUCCCCAUUUUGUUAAAUAACCAAGAAAAUCUUUGAGAUAUGAUGCUUAGUGUCACUUUUUUGGUCUCAGCUCGACCUCCUCGGGGUUCAGAGCCUUUGAUGUCGUUCCAUAUUGUGCAUCUCACAGAGCCUUUGUCUUGGAGGAGAAUUUCUGCCUGACAGCCACUCACACUCACACACACCCGCUGUCAAAAUAUUACGUGCUGCCCUAAAUUAUUUGGUAGCAAUGGGAGAAACACCUGCUUCCUGAGAACAUCUCUUCCUUUUAAUCAUCCUCAAGAAUUUUUUGGGGAGAUGCAUUAUUUAAAAUGGUAACGACAACCUGAUGCAGAAACAGACACUUCACCAGCUUGAAUGACAUUCCAUUAACUCCAGAGUUUUCCUUGUCCACAAAGAAAGCAGCUGAGAAGCAGAGCCUGCGUGAAGGGAGGGAUGGGAGCAGCUCCUGAACCGAUGCAGCUCCUGCUCGUGGGAAUGGAGAUGUUUUUAUGACAUCUGGUGGCCAUAAAAUCUCAACUCCUGAUGGAUCUUCUGGCAAACAAACAAAGAAAUCAUGAAAUUAUCUAAAGAGCUCAUUCCUUGAAUCCCCCGGAAAACAACUGCAAGCUGAACAUCAAAGAGCACAAACAAAAUAUUGCCACAUUAAGGUCUCCUGCACAAAGGGAGCCUUUUGCUGUGUGCAAUGUGCUUAUCCUGCAAAUGCUGAAGCAGCUCCCAGACCAGCAGCAGAAUAAUUCCUGCCUGUAGCAUCCCGAGAGGAGAGCGGAGCAUCCUCCGAGGUGCCACCGACGCCCUUGGCUCUGGGGGACUGGUGGCCCCUUCACCACCCCAGGGGGGUCCUACACCAGUGUCCCCACUGCUUUGGGGACAUUUGCUUUGGGAUCCAUGUCCCAGCUCAUUUCCAGUGCUGGAGUCCCAGGGAUGCUGCCCAGAGUGAGCCUGGGAGCAGGAGCAGCAGAGAUUUUCAGGAACCUCGGAGUGAAAUUGUUUUCCUGUCCUGCAAAAUACUUCAGAAACUUUCUAUUCCUGAAUUGAGGCUGCUGCUUGGACUGUUUUCCAUCUCCUUCUAACACACGGAGCUCCAUUAAGAGACCCUGCUCCAGCUCCUUGGGGGUCUGCAAGAAGGAACGUGGCCUAAACCUGGUCCCUGGAGGGACAGUUGCCACCUCCCAGAGGACACAGCUCACAUUCCAACAUAUGUUGUGACUUGUGACUUGGAACAAAACCUGCAGGACCUGAGCCAUGAGAGGGACUGUUCUCCUAUUGAAAAGCAAUAUAGAGCAGAGAGCAAUGGGACAGCCUCCAGACAGUGAGAAAUGGUGUGUGAGGCUCUCUCUGUCUCCUGGAGGAAGAAGUCAGGGGGCUGUUUGAGGCCUUUGUUCAUAUCAAACCAGGAGAGAUGUGGACUCUGAGGGAGUGAUGUCCACACACCUGGUACAGACAGGAGUUACCUUGAAGGGUGAUCACUCAUCAGGCAUUUCUCUGAGCAGAUCCUGCUGUUGGGGCUUUUGUUCCCCAGCACGUUCCUGUUUUAUCUGCUCCUUUGGCAGAGGUGCCAGGCAGCACAAUGAGACUCCUCAGGGAAUGGAGACACAGAAGUUUUAAUAAAUGCAAGUUAUCUAAAAGA